rnacentral:rRNA from 1 species
AUCCCUGUGAGAAUGCCCUAAUACUCCUAAAUAGGAGAAAAGGAGCGGGUAUCAGGCACGCUCUACGAAGCAGCCCAUGACGCCUUGUUUAACCACACCCCCAAGGGCUCGCAGCAGUGAUAAAUAUUAAGCAAUAAGUGAAAACUUGACUUAAUUAGAGCUUAAAGGGCCGGUAAAACUCGUGCCAGCCACCGCGGUUAUACGAGAGGCCCAAGCUGACAACUCUUCGGCGUAAAGGGUGGUUAAAAUAAUAACUUAUUAAAGUCAAACUCCUCCCUAACUGUUGUACGUAUUUGGAGGAAAGAGGUCCUACUACGAAAGUGACUUUAAACAAUUGAACCCACGAAAGCUAUGGCACAAACUGGGAUUAGAUACCCCACUAUGCUUAGCCCUAAACUUUUAUACUUAUUCACAAAAGUAUACGCCAGGGUAUUACGAGCAUAAGCUUAAAACCCAAAGGACUUGGCGGUGCUUAAUAACCCCCUAGAGGAGCCUGUUCUAGAACCGAUACCCCUCGUUAAACCUCACCCUUUCUUGCCUAACCCGUCUAUAUACCGCCGUCGUCAGCUCACCCUGUGAAGGUCCUAAAGUAAGCAUAAUCAGAAAUACCUUAAAACGUCAGGUCGAGGUGUAGCAUAUGAAAGGGGAAGAAAUGGGCUACAUUUCCUAUACUAGGACAUACGGAAUGUGUGUUGAAAUACACACUAUGAAGGAGGAUUUAGUAGUAAAUAGAAAAUAGAGAGUUCUAUUGAAGCUGGCCCUUAAGCGCGCACACACCGCCCGUCACUCUCCUCUAACCAAACACAAUUAAUUUACUAAAACAAUAAAAGGGACCAGAGGAGAUAAGUCGUAACAUGGUAAGUGUACCGGAAGGUGCACUUGGAAAAAAU